CGCGCAGGCGGCGAUUUAAGCAGGAUGUGAAAGGCUACGGCUCAACCGUAGACAUGCACCCUGAACUGGGUCACUUGAGUAUUGGAGAGGCAGGCAGAAUUCCUGGUGUAGCGGUGAAAUGCGUAGAUAUCAGGAGGAAUACCGGAGGCGAAGGCGGCCUGCUGGACAAAUACUGACGCUGAGGCGCGAAGCGUGGGAGCAAACA
rnacentral:rRNA from 1 species